AUUCACAGGGGGUGCCAACUCAAGGCUGAGAACAUACCCUUAACAACCUGAUCCGGGUAAUACCGGCGGAGGAAUGAGAAAAUGA
rnacentral:ncRNA from 1 species